UUACCUGGGCUCGAAGCGCAGUGGACCGGGGUGGAAACAUCCCUUUUCGCAAGAACUGCUGCGGAGGUGCUGCAUGGCUGUCGUCAGCUCGUGUCGUGAGAUGUUGGGUUAAGUCCGCAACGAGCGCAACCCUUAUCGUUAGUUGCCAGCGGGUCAAGCCGGGCACUCUAGCGAAACCGCACAGGAUAACUGUGAGGAAGGUGGGGAUGACGUCAAGUCCUCAUGGCCUUUAUGUCCAGGGCUACACACGUGCUACAAUGGCCGGUACAAACCGUCGCAAACCCGCAAGGGGGAGCUAAUCGGAAAAAGCCGGCCUCAGUUCGGAUUGGAGUCUGCAACCCGACUCCAUGAAGCUGGAAUCGCUAGUAAUCGCGGAUCAGCACGCCGCGGUGAAUACGUUCCCGGGCCUUGUACACACCGCCCGUCACAUCACGAAAGUGGACUAUACUAGAAGCCGGUGAGCCAACCGCAAGGGGGCAGCCGUCCAAGGUAUGGUUCAUGAUUGGGGUGAAGUCGUAACAAGGUAGGCGUAGUGCU
rnacentral:rRNA from 1 species